rnacentral:rRNA from 1 species
CCUACGGGAGGCAGCAGUGGGGAAUUUUGGACAAUGGGGGCAACCCUGAUCCAGCCAUUCCGCGUGAGUGAAGAAGGCCUUCGGGUUGUAAAGCUCUUUCGCAAGGGAAGAAAACUUAUGAUCGAAUAAAUCAUGAGGUUGACGGUACCUUGAUAAGAAGCACCGGCUAACUACGUGCCAGCAGCCGCGGUAAUACGUAGGGUGCGAGCGUUAAUCGGAAUUACUGGGCGUAAAGCGUGCGCAGGCGGUUUUGUAAGUCGGAUGUGAAAUCCCCGGGCUCAACCUGGGAACUGCGUUCGAAACUGCAAGGCUAGAGUGUGUCAGAGGGGGGUAGAAUUCCACGUGUAGCAGUGAAAUGCGUAGAGAUGUGGAGGAAUACCAAUGGCGAAGGCAGCCCCCUGGGAUAACACUGACGCUCAUGCACGAAAGCGUGGGGAGCAAACAGGAUUAGAUACCCUGGUAGUCCACGCCCUAAACGAUGUCAACUAGUUGUUGGUAGAGUAAAACUCUAUGAGUAACGUAGCUAACGCGUGAGUUGACCGCGUGGGGAAGUACGGUCGCGAAAGUAUUAAACCGUUGAAAGUAAGUUAGUUAGGUACGNGNGAGAGCGACGACGACGACGAGGAGGAGGAG